UCUUCUACUUCGUCAUCGAGCAGCUUGGUCAUUCUACAAAAACACAAUUAAAGAUUCCACACAAUCUCAGAGUGAAGUGCAACCCUUUUCUCUAAUUAGUUUCGAGUGGGUUGUUCCUUACCGUUUACCCCGUGUAGCUCGGGUUGUACGAUCCAAGAACACCAUUUGCUCUUCUUCUUUAUCGCUUUCCAUUGAUAUAACUAACUUGCUCCUGCAAAAGUCUUUAAAGAAGCUUACGGGUUGCGAGUUUCGGAUUCAAAGGAUGAAACUUUAUGAGGUUGGAGGAGUUUCUUCGACGAGCACGUUCCUCGCCGGUGACUCGCCGCAAUGUGAUUAAACUCUUUCAGAUGGUUUGGAUCUCGUGCAGCUAUAGUUAAUGGGCUUUAUGUAUUAUUGGGCCUUCUAAUACAGCAAUUUAAAAGCCCGUGUUAUAUUAGUCACCACUAUUGAAACUACAAAUCUUCUUCGUGCAUGUGAAAAACUGUAGGAUGUCUAGUUGACAAAAAAAAAAAGAGUUUGUAGGAUGUGUAAUGGUUGUCAUGUUUCUGAUUUUCCGAUCUUUCAUUUAUUAGAUUAGUCAUCACAUUUAAAACUAAAAAGUAAUGGUUAUUGUUGAUGAGUUUUCCGCAAGAAACUUGGGAGACAAGGAAAUGACAAAAGGUGAUGUGUUCUUGACCAAGGAAGAAAAAGAGAGAACAAUAACAAAUUGCUUUAUUCGUUACAAACACACAAAGUACUUAAAAUUAAUAGUUUUCUAUGGACAAAACACACAUAUGUUGAUGAAAAAUGAACUCUCACAUUGAUAGCGAUAGUUUGAAAAAAAUUAAUUAAUAUAAAAUGAUGUAACUAUCCGCCAAUUAUCUUUAAACCCAUGCUAAAUCUGAAUUUGACUAGAUCCAUAUUUUUAAUCCAUCAACUGUCGAGAAACGCCCAUAGCAUCAAGCGAAUCUACAGUCUCUUGUCAUUCUGGCAAACCAGCUUCUUGAUAUGGAAUCUUCACAUUCUUCAGCCUAAUAGGAAACCCGGACUGGGUGGUCCGGCUUACGACAUUCUUAAACCUCGCUGUGUUGUGAGGCGUCGAGACAAUCGUUACCGCCACACCGCGCUGAGCCAAGAGCCGUGCUAUCAACCAUGUGGAUCAUGUGGCCUUGAACAUCAACGGGAAGAACAAAGUGAAUACUAGGAUGGAAUUGUUGGGUUAUUCUGAAGCCAUGAAGAAUUCUCUUAAGUGUUUUGGUCUUAUUUUGAUUUGUCGGGUUUCUCAUGAAAAAAGGAAAAAGAAAAGGUUAGAGAGUCAAGGAAAGAGAGAAAGCGAUGUUUGAGAGAACAUGUAAGCAAAUUGGCUUAUUGCUUAGGGAGCCACGUUCCGUGGCGGCCCACUCACAUGUGUUCUUUUGUACUCAUAAACCACAAACAAAUAAGAGAAUAUCUUCAUGAGUACGUCGAAAACAAAGUGAAAAGUGUUCACAGCCGCAAAAUUAACGAAAAAAAUCAAACGUGGGUUCUCUAUUUAUCUCUUUGGACAACUACAUAUUCUACAUAUCAAAAUUCAAAAAUAACAUCUGAAAAACAAAAUAAGUGAUAAAAACAUAACUUAUUUUGACAGAUAAUAUUUUGGUAAAUCGUUAAAAAAUUAAACUAACUAAAUAAAUGUAAGUAAAUUUUUUUUUUGUUUUUUUGAUAAGUAUGUGAAUCUCAUUAAACGAAUAAUGAAGCAGAGAGAUACAAUCGGCUUUGACGAAUCUAAUCCUAAUGUAUCUAAGUCGCUAAGUCAGAAGACAAAGCAGAUGUGUGUUAGGUAGCCAUAAAAAAAAAUAAAAAAGACUAACUAAGACAAAGAAG